UACGUAGGGGGCAAGCGUUGUCCGGAAUGACUGGGCGUAAAGGGAGUGUAGGCGGCCUUUUAAGUUAUAUGUGAAAGCCCCCGGCUUAACCGAGGAACUGCAUAUAAAACUGGAGGGCUGGAGUGCAGGAGAGGUAAGCGGAAUUUCUAGUGUAGCGGUGGAAUGCGUAGAUAUUAGGAGGAACAUCAGUGGCGAAGGCGACUUUCUGGACUGUAACUGACGCUGAGGCACGAAAGUGUGGGGAGCAAACAGG
rnacentral:rRNA from 1 species